rnacentral:SRP_RNA from 1 species
CCAUGCUAGGCGGGGGUUAGCGGUCCCUUUAGUCCCCAAUCCGCUAUAGGGGAGCCAAUAUGCCUGCUGAGGAAUUGGACACUUGGGACUGUACCUGGGUAAGUAGCGUUGACGGUUGAGUCCUCUGCGGCACAAGUUUACCAAUCCCGUCAGGCCCGGAAGGGAGCAGCGGUAAGUAGACCUCUGUGGGUGUCAGAGGGUUGCUUGGCCCGAGUUAACUGCCCAGGUAACGCCAGGUGAACGGUUUCGAUGCAGGCUGCAUGG